AUUGAACGCUGGCGGCAUGCCUUACACAUGCAAGUCGAACGGUAACAGGUCUUCGGAUGCUGACGAGUGGCGAACGGGUGAGUAAUACAUCGGAACGUGCCUAGUAGUGGGGGAUAACUACUCAAAAGAGUGGCUAAUACCGCAUGAGAUCUACGGAUGAAAGCAGGGGAUCGCAAGACCUUGUGCUACUAGAGCGGCCGAUGGCAGAUUAGGUAGUUGGUGGGAUAAAAGCUUACCAAGCCGACGAUCUGUAGCUGGUCUGAGAGGACGAUCCGCCAGACUGGGACUGAGACACGGCCCAGACUCCUACGGGAGGCAGCAGUGGGGAAUUUUAGACAAUGGGCGCAAGCCUGAUCCAGAAAUGCCGCGUGCAGGAUGAAGGCCUUCGGGUUGUAAACUGCUUUUGUACGGAACGAAAAGCCCUGGGUUAAUACCCUGGGGUCAUGACGGUACCGUAAGAAUAAGCACCGGCUAACUACGUGCCAGCAGCCGCCGUAACAC
rnacentral:rRNA from 1 species